AUUGAACGCUGGCGGCAGGCCUAACACAUGCAAGUCGAGCGGAGCGGCGGACGGGGGAGUAAGGCAUAGGAAGCGGCCUGCCAGUGGGGGAGAAAGUACUGAAACGGGCGCUAACAACUCAUACGAUCAGAGGGACCUAGGUGGGAUGAGCUAGUUGGUGGGGUAAAGGCCGACCAAGGCGACGAUCCGUCACUGGUCUGAGAGGAUGAUCAGUCACACUGGAACUGAGACACGGUCCAGACUCGUACGGGAGGCAGCAGUGGGGAAUAUUGUACAAUGGGCGAAAGCCUGAUCCAGCCAUGCCGCGUGUGUGAAGAAGGUCUUCGGAUUGUAAAGCACUUUAAGUUGGGAGGCGUUACCAACAGAAUAAGCACCGGCUAACUCCGUGCCAGCAGCCGCGGUAAUUC
rnacentral:rRNA from 1 species